AUCCUUCUAGUUCCUGCAAAUGAUGUAUGGGGUUUCACCUUGUGUGUAACAUGUACUUUCCCAAAUUGUUAUCACUUGGCACAGAACCCUUCUGACC
ensembl:snoRNA